UAUGUUAUAUUUUCUUAGCUAAAAGUUAUCGUUGGCAAUUCUAAGAAAAUUAUUUAGAGCUAUUGAAUUUUCCUCUAAAUGUUGCUUUAGUUCUAUUCCAUAUAUAUGGAUAAUUACUAUUCCCAUUAUUGUUCUUUUAUAGAAGUUCUAUGAUACUAGUUUGUCUUUGUUAACCCAGUUGUUUAAAAGUGAACUUAAAUUUUUUCAUGAAUUAAUUUGUACUUUAUAAUUUUAGUUAUUGUAUUACAUAAUGUUGGUUGUAUUAUUUCUACAUUUUGGAGUUUAUUGAGUUUUUUAACUGACAUAACAGUUACUUUUUUGUAUAUAUGGAGAAAGCAACUAAAAAGAUAUAUUUUAUAUUUUUGGAGUACAAAUUUUGAGAAAUACAUGUGUAUAUAUACCUU
rnacentral:lncRNA from 1 species